rnacentral:rRNA from 1 species
CAAGGCGAUUUUACCGAAGGUGCUCCACCUGUUCCCAUUCCGAACACAGAAGUGAAAUCCUUCAGGGCCGAUGAUAGUCCUUCGGGGCGAAAGUAGGUCGUCGCCUUAC